AUUCAUUUGGUUGGUAUAAGGAUCUUGAUCGUUUACUUUGAAAAAAUUAGAGUGUUUAAGGCAGGCAUGAUUGUCGUUGAAUAGUUCAGCAUGGAAUAAUAAGAUAGGGCUUCGGCACCACCGGGGUGUUUAUGCAUUGCAAAGUCGACCGUUCGUCGUGUGUUGUGUGAGGGUAUGGUUUGCCUUCCUUUGUGGAGGUUAAAUUUGCUCUUCACUCACGCGCAACAAUAGAUGGAGUAGCAUUGAACGCCUCGCGCGGGUCUCUCUAUUUUGUUGGUUUCUAGAGCCGAAGUAAUGAUUGAUAGGGAUAGUUGGGGGUGCUAGUAUUGCUAGGCCAGAGGUGAAAUUCUUGGAUUCUAGCAGGACUAACUUAUGCGAAAGCAUUCACCAAGGAUAUUCUCUUUAAUCAAGAACGAAAGUUGGAGGAUCGAAGACGAUCAGAUACCGUCGUAGUCCCAACCAUAAACGACGCCAUCUAGGGAUCAGGGAAUGUUG
rnacentral:rRNA from 1 species